AUCCUUAACCUGACAGGGGAGAUACCAUGAUCAGGAAGGUGUUUUCCCAGGGCAAGAUUCAUCCAGUGCACUUGGGAUGCGUUGACCCUUGUGAUUUCCCCAAAUGUGGGAAACUUGACUGCAUAAUUUGUGAUAGUGGGGGACUGUGUUUGUGCUAUACCCUG
ensembl:snRNA U1 U1 spliceosomal RNA